UACGAAGGGGGCUAGCGUUGCUCGGAUUGACUGGGCGUAAAGGGCGCGUAGGCGGCCACCGCAAGUCGACUGUGAAAUCUCCGGGCUUAACCCGGAAAGGUCAGCCGAUACUGCGGGGCUAGAGUGCAGAAGGGGCAACUGGAAUUCUCGGUGUAGCGGUGAAAUGCGUAGAUAUCGAGAGGAACACCUGCGGCGAAGGCGGGUUGCUGGGCUGACACUGACGCUGAUGCGCGAAAGCUAGGGGAGCGAACGGG
rnacentral:rRNA from 1 species